rnacentral:piRNA from 1 species
UAAAAUAUGUGUGCUCUGAACAGUUUCCC